UGCAAGUCGAACGCUUUGUGGUUCAACUGAUUUGAAGAGCUUGCUCAGAUAUGACGAUGGACAUUGCAAAGAGUGGCGAACGGGUGAGUAACACGUGGGAAACCUACCUCUUAGCAGGGGAUAACAUUUGGAAACAGAUGCUAAUACCGUAUAACAAUGACAACCGCAUGGUUGUUAUUUAAAAGAUGGUUCUGCUAUCACUAAGAGAUGGUCCCGCGGUGCAUUAGCUAGUUGGUAAGGUAAUGGCUUACCAAGGCGAUGAUGCAUAGCCGAGUUGAGAGACUGAUCGGCCACAAUGGGACUGAGACACGGCCCAUACUCCUACGGGAGGCAGCAGUAGGGAAUCUUCCACAAUGGGCGAAAGCCUGAUGGAGCAACGCCGCGUGUGUGAUGAAGGGUUUCGGCUCGUAAAACACUGUUGUAAGAGAAGAAUGACAUUGAGAGUAACUGUUCAAUGUGUGACGGUAUCUUACCAGAAAGGAACGGCUAAAUACGUGCCAGCAGCCGCGGUAAUACGUAUGUUCCAAGCGUUAUCCGGAUUUAUUGGGCGUAAAGCGAGCGCAGACGGUUAUUUAAGUCUGAAGUGAAAGCCCUCAGCUCAACUGAGGAAUUGCUUUGGAAACUGGAUGACUUGAGUGCAGUAGAGGAAAGUGGAACUCCAUGUGUAGCGGUGAAAUGCGUAGAUAUAUGGAAGAACACCAGUGGCGAAGGCGGCUUUCUGGACUGUAACUGACGUUGAGGCUCGAAAGUGUGGGUAGCAAACAGGAUUAGAUACCCUGGUAGUCCACACCGUAAACGAUGAGUGCUAGGUGUUUGAGGGUUUCCGCCCUUAAGUGCCGCAGCUAACGCAUUAAGCACUCCGCCUGGGGAGUACGACCGCAAGGUUGAAACUCAAAGGAAUUGACGGGGACCCGCACAAGCGGUGGAGCAUGUGGUUUAAUUCGAAGCAACGCGAAGAACCUUACCAGGUCUUGACAUCCCUUGACAACUCCAGAGAUGGAGCGUUCCCUUCGGGGACAAGGUGACAGGUGGUGCAUGGUUGUCGUCAGCUCGUGUCGUGAGAUGUUGGGUUAAGUCCCGCAACGAGCGCAACCCUUAUUACUAGUUGCCAGCAUUCAGUUGGGCACUCUAGUGAGACUGCCGGUGACAAACCGGAGGAAGGUGGGGAUGACGUCAAAUCAUCAUGCCCCUUAUGACCUGGGCUACACACGUGCUACAAUGGCGUAUACAACGAGUUGCCAACCCGCGAGGGUGAGCUAAUCUCUUAAAGUACGUCUCAGUUCGGAUUGUAGGCUGCAACUCGCCUACAUGAAGUCGGAAUCGCUAGUAAUCGCGGAUCAGCACGCCGCGGUGAAUACGUUCCCGGGUCUUGUACACACCGCCCGUCACACCAUGAGAGUUUGUAACACCCAAAGCCGGUGGGGUAACCUUCGGGAGCCAGCCGUCUAA
rnacentral:rRNA from 1 species